UACGUAGGGUGCAAGCGUUGUCCGGAAUUAUUGGGCGUAAAGAGCUCGUAGGCGGUUUGUCGCGUCGAAUGUGAAAACCCGGGGCUCAACCCCGGGCCUGCAUUCGAUACGGGCAGACUAGAGUUCGGUAGGGGAGUCUGGAAUUCCUGGUGUAGCGGUGAAAUGCGCAGAUAUCAGGAGGAACACCGGUGGCGAAGGCGGUUCUCUGGGCAUGUCCUGACGCUGAGGAGCGAAAGUGUGGGGAGCGAACAGG
rnacentral:rRNA from 1 species